AUCCUUAUUCUCCAAAAGAACAUCUUUUUCACCCUUCUCUCCCACAGUUUCUUUCUCCAAAAGAUCACUUUUUUCUGCCUUAUCUUUCACAGUAUCAUCUUUUUCUUUCUUAUCCACAUCUUGCUUCUUCAAACUCGCCUUCGGCACCGUAUUUCUCUCAUCCACCUCUUCCUCUUCCUCAUCUUCAUCAACAUCCCAACUCAGUUCCUCCUCUUCUUCCCUAGAAAUCGCUCUAUUAACAAGCUUAACCCUCAUAUCCUCAGCUUGCUUAAGCUUAAAAACCUUAUAAAAGUACCUACACCAAAACGUCUCAUGAUCAACCCCAUUUGAAACACCAACAACCCUUUUAUA
rnacentral:lncRNA from 1 species